rfam:Ictidomys tridecemlineatus contig131731, whole genome shotgun sequence.
UGGGUUGUGGCUCAGAGGUAGAGCAUUUGCCUAGCAUGCAUGGGGAACUGGGUUCGAUCCUCAGCACCACAU